rnacentral:tRNA from 2 species
GCGCAGGUGGUGGAACUGGUAGACACGCAGCCUUGAGGUGGCUGUGCCGUGAGGCGUGAGGGUUCGAGUCCCUCCCUGCGCA